rnacentral:rRNA from 1 species
UACAGAGGGUGCGAGCGUUAAUCGGAAUUACUGGGCGUAAAGCGCACGUAGUCGGCUUUGCAAGUCGGGUGUGAAAUCCCUGGGCUCAACCUGGGAACUGCAUCCGAGACUGCAUUGCUAGAGUAUGGGAGAGGGAAGCGGAAUUUCUGGUGUAGCAGUGAAAUGCGUAGAUAUCAGAAGGAACAUCAGUGGCGAAGGCGGCUUCCUGGACCAAUACUGACGAUCAGGUGCGAAAGCGUGGGGAGCAAACAGG